GACGAACGCUGGCGGCGUGCUUAACACAUGCAAGUCGAACGGUGAAGGGGAGCUUGCUCCCCGGAUCAGUGGCGAACGGGUGAGUAACACGUGGGCAACCUGCCCCAGACUUCGGGAUAACGCUUCGAAAGAGGUGCUAAUACCGGAUACGAACUCCUUGGGCAUCCUGGGAGUUGGAAAGUUUUUCGGUCUGGGAUGGGCCCGCGGCCUAUCAGCUUGUUGGUGAGGUAACGGCCCACCAAGGCGACGACGGGUAGCCGGCCUGAGAGGGCGACCGGCCGCACUGGGACUGAGACACGGUCCAGACUCCUACGGGAGGCAGCAGUGGGGAAUAUUGCGCAAGGGGCGAAAGCCUGACGCAGCAACGCCGCGUGAGGGAUGACGGCCUUCGGGUUGUAAACCUCUUUCAGCAGGGAAGAAGCGAAAGUGACGGUACCUGCAGAAGAAGCACCGGCUAACUACGUGCCAGCCGCCGCCGUAAUAC
rnacentral:rRNA from 1 species